CAUACAAUGCAGAUCUGUAACUUCCUGAAAGAAAAAGUCAAGAGAGUCGGUUAAACCCAGUAUUGUUUUUGUCGGUGUUCUGCUAAAGUGUUAACAAAUCCUACUAUAAUAUCGUGUUUAUAUUUACAAGUGACUGUAAUGGCUACUCUGAGGCCAGUCGUGACUAGUACCUCGUUGAUAAGGGAAGCGAUUCCAGCCAUGGCGACCAGUUUCUGCUGUUCAAGGCUUGACCAUGGAGAAAACACGAAUCUUCUGGUGCGGCUGUUUUGUUAAUGCAAGGAUGACGAGUUUUUCUUUGUGAUUUCCAUAACUGACCGGAGCCAAAUUUGUCAUGUUGGAGGUGAGGUAAUGGUUUUUUUUUAUUGAUAUGAAUCAAGCCAUAUAAGAGCAAGAAUAACUUC